rnacentral:RNase_MRP_RNA from 1 species
CCCUCGUCCAAAGAAUCGCAGUCGAAGCUCACGCACGGAGACGCCCUUUGAGGGUGCUCUCGCUCCACACAAAGCUUUGGGAGAAAGUCCCCGGACAGCCCCGACCAGGGGAAUCCGCGUCAACGCGCCGCCAUAGCAGUUGCGCCGUCUCUUCGCCGUUCCCGGAUCCUCUGCACGCCUUGCCCCGUCUGCACCCGGCUGCUCCCUCUCUGUCCCACUCGGACCCCAGGCUGCUCACCACGGAUGAAGAUACGAGUCCGAGUAGCGCAAGGUUCGGGCUGUUGCGGAUCGGGUUGAAGCUGGGGAGGUGCUGGGAGACCGUGCAGGCAUCUGUGGCCGCUGGCUUACCAGCAGCGGCGUCGAGGUUCGUUCGUCGAGAAGAUAGUUAUGCGAUUGCCUUCACGUUCGUUGCGGACCAGAGGUAACUCGAUGGGGCUUAUUCUUGGUGCGAGG